UUAAAUUGAAGAGUUUGAUCAUGGCUCAGAUUGAACGCUGGCGGCAGGCCUAACACAUGCAAGUCGAACGGUAACAGGAAGAAGCUUGCUUCUUUGCUGACGAGUGGCGGACGGGUGAGUAAUGUCUGGGAAACUGCCUGAUGGAGGGGGAUAACUACUGGAAACGGUAGCUAAUACCGCAU
rnacentral:rRNA from 2 species